GGUCCGGACACACUGAGGAUUGACAGACGGUUGACGCCCUUCGGGGCAAAGAGACAAAAUUUUUGGCUCUUUCAUGAUUAUGUGAUAGGUGGUGCAUGGCCGUUCUUAGUUCGUGGAGUGAUCUGUCUGCCCAAUCGCGUUUCAUAAAUCUUAAGCUCAAAAGGCAGUCUUACCUUCGGGUUGAGUUUUGCUGGGAGACUUUUGUGUGAACGCAACGGACGUGAUUGCAACCCCUUGUUGAUUGGCCAUCACGUAAGCUCACUUGUAAUUUAUUACAGUGUGGUAUUAUCUUAGCCAUUCCCUUUUAGUUGUGGCGUGAUUAACCACUCUAAAUUGUAACUCGGGGGACCGCUGUGAUUUUUCUUCAAACCGGAGGAAGGUUGCGGCAAUAACAGGUCU
rnacentral:rRNA from 1 species